GGGGGCGUUAUGGAUUCGACGCCGGUUGCAGAUCCUGAGGUGCAUGCCGAGAGCGUAACGUAUCUCGUAAAUACCACGUUACUCUAAAAUAGUCGCAAACGACGAAAACUAUGCUCAAGAGGGCGCGCUGGCAGCUUAAACCCUGCUGGUAACCUUCUUACCCCGAAGCGAUGUGCCUGUUCAUCGUAACGGGGCUAUGAGCUACAGCUGACAGGAUCGUGGUUGGCUUUGUUCUCGCGUCAACCGCUAAACAUUAGAGAGCCCGUCGCAUCGGAUCCUGCUCGUCGGAGCCGGUGCGGUUGAACCAAAAGACGAAACUAAGCAUGUAGAGCUGAUGGACGAGUGCCGGCGGACGGGGGUUCAACUCCCCCCGCCUCCACCA
rfam:Kushneria marisflavi strain SW32, complete genome.